AUUGAACGCUGGCGGCAGGCCUAACACAUGCAAGUCGAGCGGAUGAAGGGAGCUUGCUCCUGGAUUCAGCGGCGGACGGGUGAGUAAUGCCUAGGAAUCUGCCUGGUAGUGGGGGAUAACGUCCGGAAACGGGCGCUAAUACCGCAUACGUCCUGAGGGAGAAAGUGGGGGAUCUUCGGACCUCACGCUAUCAGAUGAGCCUAGGUCGGAUUAGCUAGUUGGUGGGGUAAAGGCCUACCAAGGCGACGAUCCGUAACUGGUCUGAGAGGACGAUCAGUCACACUGGAACUGAGACACGGUCCAGACUCCUACGGGAGGCAGCAGUGGGGAAUAUUGGACAAAGGGCGAAAGCCUGAUCCAGCCAUGCCGCGUGUGUGAAGAAGGUCUUCGGAUUGUAAAGCACUUUAAGUUGGGAGGAAGGGCAGUAAGUUAAUACCUUGCUGUUUUGACGUUACCAACAGAAUAAGCACCGGCUAACUUCGUG
rnacentral:rRNA from 1 species